rnacentral:misc_RNA from 1 species
CGCCGCCGAAGCCACGCGUCGAAGCUGCGUAUUCUGACCAAAACCUGCAUUGAUAACCUUAUCUUUGGUGCUCAAUCCCUCACCAAUAUCUUCACCGAUAUGUGAAUCCUCCUUUCUAAUCCUCAACACCUGGCUAUGCACAAAACCUAUGUUGCUUAUAUUCCUUCCCCACUUGCCGACAGAUUUCGGCGACUCCUCGUUAUCCUCCGAUGAACCUCCACUCUCUCUAUCCAUCUCAGCCUCGGUACAGUCCUUCACUCCCA